UGGCUCAGGAUGAACGCUAGCGGCAGGCUUAACACAUGCAAGUCGAGGGGCAGCGGGGAGGAAGCUUGCUUUCUCCGCCGGCGACCGGCGCACGGGUGAGUAACACGUAUGCAACCUGCCCCUGUCAGGGGGACAACCCGCCGAAAGGCGGGUUAAACCCGCGUACAUGCCACCGGGGCAUCCCGGAGGCAGGAAAGGCUUCGGCCGGACUGGGAUGGGCAUGCGGCGCAUUAGGCAGUAGGCGGGGUAACGGCCCACCUAACCGACGAUGCGUAGGGGUUCUGAGAGGAAGGUCCCCCACACUGGUACUGAGACACGGACCAGACUCCUACGGGAGGCAGCAGUGAGGAAUAUUGGUCAAUGGUCGGGAGACUGAACCAGCCAAGCCGCGUGAGGGAUGAAGGUACAGAGUAUCGUAAACCUCUUUUGUCAGGGAACAAAGGCGGGGACGUGUCCCCGGAUGAGUGUACCUGAAGAAAAAGCAUCGGCUAACUCCGUGCCAGCAGCCGCGGUAAUACGGAGGAUGCGAGCGUUAUCCGGAUUUAUUGGGUUUAAAGGGUGCGCAGGCGGUCUGUUAAGUCAGCGGUCAAAGCCCGGGGCUCAACCCCGGCCCGCCGUUGAAACUGGCAGUCUCGAGUUGGAGAGAAGUAUGCGGAAUGCGCGGUGUAGCGGUGAAAUGCAUAGAUAUCGCGCAGAACUCCGAUUGCGAAGGCAGCAUGCCGGCUCCACACUGACGCUGAGGCACGAAAGCGUGGGUAUCGAACAGGAUUAGAUACCUGGUAGUCCACGCAGUAAACGAUGAAUGCUGGCUGUCCGGGGGGGAUUGACCCCUGGGUGGCGAAGCGAAAGCGAUAAGCAUUCCACCUGGGGAGUACGCCGGCAACGGUGAAACUCAAAGGAAUUGACGGGGGCCCGCACAAGUGGAGGAACAUGUGGUCUAAUUUGAUGAUACGCGAGGAACCUUACCCGGGCUCAAACGGGGAGUGACUCAGGCAGAGACGCCUGUUUUCCACGGGACACUCCCUGAGGUGCUGCAUGGUUGUCGUCAGCUCGUGCCGUGAGGUGUCGGCUUAAGUGCCAUAACGAGCGCAACCCCCGCUGUGCAGUUGCUAACAGAUAACGCUGAGGACUCUGCACGGACUGCCGGCGCAAGCCGCGAGGAAGGCGGGGAUGACGUCAAAUCAGCACGGCCCUUACGUCCGGGGCGACACACGUGUUACAAUGGGUGGUACAGCGGGAAGCCAGGCGGCGACGCCGAGCGGAACCCGAAAUCCACUCUCAGUUCGGAUCGGAGUCUGCAACCCGACUCCGUGAAGCUGGAUUCGCUAGUAAUCGCGCAUCAGCCAUGGCGCGGUGAAUACGUUCCCGGGCCUUGUACACACCGCCCGUCAAGCCAUGGGAGCCGAGGGCGCUUGAAGUGCGUCGCCGCGAGGCGCGCCCUAGAGCGAAAUCGGUGACUGGGGCUAAGUCGUAACAAGG
rnacentral:rRNA from 1 species